UGGGCCCUACGGGAGGCAGCAGUGAGGAAUAUUGGUCAAUGGGCGGGAGCCUGAACCAGCCAAGUCGCGUGAGGGAAGACGGUCCUAUGGAUUGUAAACCUCUUUAGGCGGGGAGCAAUGCCGGGCACGCGUGCCCGGAGGGAGAGUACCCGCAGAAUAAGCAUCGGCUAACUCCGUGCCAGCAGCCGCGGUGAUACGGAAGGUCCGGGCGUUAUCCGGAUUUAUUGGGUUUAAAGGGAGCGUAGGCCGGCUUUUAAGUCAGCUGUGAAAGUCCGCGGCUCAACCGUGGAAUUGCAGUUGAACCU
rnacentral:rRNA from 1 species